rnacentral:rRNA from 1 species
GAGCUUGCUCUCGGGUGACGAGCGGCGGACGGGUGAGUAAUGUCUGGGAAACUGCCUGAUGGAGGGGGAUAACUACUGGAAACGGUAGCUAAUACCGCAUAAUGUCGCAAGACCAAAGUGGGGGACCUUCGGGCCUCAUGCCAUCAGAUGUGCCCAGAUGGGAUUAGCUAGUAGGUGGGGUAACGGCUCACCUAGGCGACGAUCCCUAGCUGGUCUGAGAGGAUGACCAGCCACACUGGAACUGAGACACGGUCCAGACUCCUACGGGAGGCAGCAGUGGGGAAUAUUGCACAAUGGGCGCAAGCCUGAUGCAGCCAUGCCGCGUGUGUGAAGAAGGCCUUCGGGUUGUAAAGCACUUUCAGCGGGGAGGAAGGCGUUAAGGUUAAUAACCUUGUCGAUUGACGUUACCCGCAGAAGAAGCACCGGCUAACUCCGUGCCAGCAGCCGCGGUAAUACGGAGGGUGCAAGCGUUAAUCGGAAUUACUGGGCGUAAAGCGCACGCAGGCGGUCUGUCAAGUCGGAUGUGAAAUCCCCGGGCUCAACCUGGGAACUGCAUUCGAAACUGGCAGGCUAGAGUCUUGUAGAGGGGGG